rnacentral:rRNA from 1 species
UACGGGGGGGGCAAGCGUUGUUCGGAAUUACUGGGCGUAAAGGGCUCGUAGGCGGCCAACUAAGUCAGACGUGAAAUCCCCAGGCUCAACCUGGGAACUGUGUCUGAUACUGGAUGGCUUGAAUCCGGGAGAGGGAUGCAGAAUUCCAGGUGUAGCGGUGAAAUGCGUAGAUAUCUGGAGGAAUACCGGUGGCGAAGGCGGCAUCCUGGACCGGCAUUGACGCUGAGGAGCGAAAGCCAGGGGAGCAAACGGG